CCUUCGAUAGCUCAGUUGGUAGAGCGGUGGACUGUAGUUGUGUAAAUAAAGCGGUGAUCCAUAGGUCGCUGGUUCAAAUCCGGCUCGAAGGA
rnacentral:tRNA from 1 species